rnacentral:rRNA from 1 species
ACUCCUACGGGAGGCAGCAGUAGGGAAUCUUCCACAAUGGGCGAAAGCCUGAUGGAGCAACGCCGCGUGGGUGAAGAAGGUCUUCGGAUCGUAAAACCCUGUUGUUAGAGAAGAAAGUGCGUGAGAGUAACUGUUCACGUUUCGACGGUAUCUAACCAGAAAGCCACGGCUAACUACGUGCCAGCAGCCGCGGUAAUACGUAGGUGGCAAGCGUUAUCCGGAUUUAUUGGGCGUAAAGGGAACGCAGGCGGUCUUUUAAGUCUGAUGUGAAAGCCUUCGGCUUAACCGGAGUAGUGCAUUGGAAACUGGGAGACUUGAGUGCAGAAGAGGAGAGUGGAACUCCAUGUGUAGCGGUGAAAUGCGUAGAUAUAUGGAAGAACACCAGUGGCGAAAGCGGCUCUCUGGUCUGUAACUGACGCUGAGGUUCGAAAGCGUGGGUAGCAAACAGGAUUAGAUA